rnacentral:lncRNA from 1 species
AGUUGUCACAUCGUUUCCUUUCAGCUGCGACUGGCUCCUUGUGAGUCAGAGUCCCAACAGCAUGAGCAAGAGUGACGUGGGUCAAGGAGCGUGAGCACCAUGGAUUUGGACCCAUUGCAGGGAGCCCUGGUGCAAAGGGCUCCCAUCCAACCACAACUGCUCAUCUCCCAUCAGUCAUGAGAGAACAAAAAAUUAUCUCCUUCAAAGCAUCCAGCUUUCUUAGCUCAACCUGCCUGGGCCACAUCCACCUUGUUUACUAAUGUGCCAGGCUGUUGAACCCUCCUCCAGAAUGAGGCCCUUGGAGUCACAAUCCAUCUGGCUAAUUCCCCCAAAUCCACUCCUCAGUCUAAGCAUCUUUCCCAUCUCCAGAGACAAGCCAUGGGAUCCUUUCUUUCGGUGGGGCCCUAAGUAUAGCUUUCUUAUCCAGAAGCCACAAAGUUGUGUCAUUUCAAAAACUGUUUUGUAUUUUUUUCAGGAGGUGAAGAAGAGAACUGAAUACGAAAGAAACCUGGGUGGGGAAGAGGUGCCAAAAAAGCACCCGAGGCUUCUCUUCAUGCUGCACCUGGCCCAGGCUCUGAUUAAUACUGAGGAUUGUUUAUGGCAUUUCAUAAAUAGGCCAGACAAGCUCUCUUGGACAGUACUUCUUGAAGAAGUUUCCAUCCUCCAGGACAAGGCCAGAGUUUCCUGGUUUGCCUCACCUGGGCGGGGUUACAGGAAACUAAGGUUGAAAACAGGCAAGGGCUUGUCUACCAUUCCAACACCAGGCACCAAAAAGCUCAGAGUCAGGCUGGCUGAUUCCUACCCUAGCACUUCUGCUGUUUGGCCCUGACUUGGGUCAUUCUGAUUACCUCCCAGCAUUCAUUCACCUCUUCCACUACCAACAGGUACUUGUUCCUCCUUGGGGACAUUCACCCCUUCCUCAUUCUCAAUGCAUGAUUUCAGUGGAGUUAUCUCACAACAAUUGUGGGCCAAGCAUGAUUGACCAAUUCCAUUAUUCAAUCCAUUUUCCCCAAUCGUGCAAUGUAAUCAGACCAGA